rnacentral:snRNA from 1 species
AUGCUCACCUUGGCAGCAUGUAUACCAAGACAGAAACAAUACAGAGGUUAGCAUGACCCCUGCACAAUGAUAAAUGUCUGAGGUUAUGCAUAUGCCA